rnacentral:rRNA from 1 species
GACGAACGCUGGCGGCGUGCUUAACACAUGCAAGUCGAACGGAAAGGCCUGCUUUCCCUUGUGGAUUGCGGGUACUCGAGUGGCGAACGGGUGAGUAACACGUGAGUGAUCUGCCCCCAACUUGGGUAUAAGCCUGGGAAACUGGGUCUAAUUCCCGAUAGGACUGCAGGGUGGUGCCUGUGGUGGAAAACGAUUUUCUAGUGGUUGGGGGUGAGCUCGCGGCCUAUCAGCUUGUUGGUGGGGUAAUGGCCUACCAAGGCGGCGACGGGUAGCCGGCCUGGGAGGGUGGACGGCCACAUUGGGACUGAGAUACGGCCCAGACUCCUACGGGAGACAGCAGUGGGGACUAUUGCACAAGGGGCGGAAGCCUGAUGCAGCGACGCCGCGUGGGGGAUGACGGCCUUCGGGCUGUAAACUCCUUUCGACCGCGAGGAAGCCACCUGGUUGGAAGGGUGGUGACGGUAGUGGUAGAAGAAGCACCGGCUAACUACGUG